rnacentral:rRNA from 1 species
GAUGAACGCUGACAGAAUGCUUAACACAUGCAAGUCAACUUGAAUUUGGGUUUUUAACUUGGGUUUGGGUGGCGGACGGGUGAGUAACGCGUAAAGAACUUGCCUCACAGCUAGGGACAACAUUUGGAAACGAAUGCUAAUACCUAAUAUUAUGAUAAUAGGGCAUCCUAUAAUUAUGAAAGCUAUAAGCGCUGUGAGAGAGCUUUGCGUCCCAUUAGCUAGUUGGAGAGGUAACGGCUCACCAAGGCGAUGAUGGGUAGCCGGCCUGAGAGGGUGAUCGGCCACAAGGGGACUGAGACACGGCCCUUACGCCUACGGGAGGCAGCAGUGGGGAAUAUUGGACAAUGGACCGAGAGUCUGAUCCAGCAAUUCUGUGUGCACGAUGAAGUUUUUCGGAAUGUAAAGUGCUUUCAGUUGGGAAGAAACAAAUGACGGUACCAACAGAAGAAGUGACGGCUAAAUACGUG